AACCUUAUGGACCUGCGGGCGUAUACCUGCGGAGGGAUCAUUACCGAGUUUACAACUCCCAAACCCCUGUGAACAUACCUAUAUGUUGCCUCGGCGGAUCAGCCCGCGCCCCGUAAAACGGGACGGCCCGCCGCAGGAUCCACAAACUCUGUUUUUAUUGUAACUUCUGAGUAACAAAACAAAUAAAUCAAAACUUUUAGCAACGGAUCU
rnacentral:misc_RNA from 1 species